rnacentral:rRNA from 1 species
GGGUCUCUUCGGAGGCCAGCGGCGGACGGGUGAGGAACACGUGGGUAAUCUGCCUUUCAGGCCGGAAUAACGCCCGGAAACGGGCGCUAAUGCCGGAUACGCCCGCGAGGAGGCAUCUUCUUGCGGGGGAAGGCCCAAUUGGGCCGCUGAGAGAGGAGCCCGCGGCGCAUUAGCUGGUUGGCGGGGUAACGGCCCACCAAGGCGACGAUGCGUAGCCGACCUGAGAGGGUGACCGGCCACACUGGGACUGAGACACGGCCCAGACUCCUACGGGAGGCAGCAGUAGGGAAUCUUCCGCAAUGGGCGCAAGCCUGACGGAGCAACGCCGCGUGAGCGAAGAAGGCCUUCGGGUUGUAAAGCUCUGUUGCUCGGGGAGAGCGGCAUGGGGGAUGGAAAGCCCCAUGCGAGACGGUACCGAGUGAGGAAGCCCCGGCUAACUACGUGCCAGCAGCCGCGGUAAAACGUAGGGGGCGAGCGUUGUCCGGAAUCACUGGGCGUAAAGGGUGCGUAGGCGGUCGAGCAAGUCUGGAGUGAAAGUCCAUGGCUCAACCAUGGGAUGGCUUUGGAAACUGCUUGACUUGAGUGCUGGAGAGGCAAGGGGAAUUCCACGUGUAGCGGUGAAAUGCGUAGAGAUGUGGAGGAAUACCAGUGGCGAAGGCGCCUUGCUGGACAGUGACUGACGCUGAGGCA